rnacentral:rRNA from 1 species
GAUGAACGCUGGCGGCGUGCCUAAUACAUGCCAGUCGAGCGAACGGACGAGAAGCUUGCUUCUCUGAUGUUAGCGGCGGACGGGUGAGUAACACGUGGAUAACCUACCUAUAUGACUGGGAUAACUUCGGGAAACCGUAGCUAAUACCGGAUAAUAUUUUGAACCGCAUGGUUCAAAAGUGAAAGACGGUCUUGCUGUCACUUAUAGAUGGAUCCGCGCUGCAUUAGCUAGUUGGUAAGGUAACGGCUUACCAAGGCAACGAUGCAUAGCCGACCUGAGAGGGUGAUCGGCCACACUGGAACUGAGACACGGUCCAGACUCCUACGGGAGGCAGCAGUAGGGAAUCUUCCGCAAUGGGCGAAAGCCUGACGGAGCAACGCCGCGUGAGUGAUGAAGGUCUUCGGAUCGUAAAACUCUGUUAUUAGGGAAGAACAUAUGUGUAAGUAACUGUGCACAUCUUGACGGUACCUAAUCAGAAAGCCACGGCUAACUACGUG